UGAUCAGCCACACCGGGACUGAGACACGGCCCGGACUCCUACGGGAGGCAGCAGUGGGGAAUAUUGGACAAUGGGGGAAACCCUGAUCCAGCCAUGCCGCGUGUGUGAAGAAGGCCUUUUGGUUGUAAAGCACUUUAAGCAGUGAAGAAGACUCCUCGGUUAAUACCCGUGGACGAUGACAUUAGCUGCAGAAUAAGCACCGG
rnacentral:rRNA from 1 species